UACGUAGGGUGCGAGCGUUGUCCGGAAUUAUUGGGCGUAAAGGGCUCGUAGGCGGUUUGUCGCGUCGGGGAGUGAAAACACCGGGCUUAACUCGGUGCUUGCUUUCGAUACGGGCAGACUAGAGGUAUGCAGGGGAGAACGGAAUUCCUGGUGUAGCGGUGAAAUGCGCAGAUAUCAGGAGGAACACCGGUGGCGAAGGCGGUUCUCUGGGCCUGUACUGACGCUGAGGAGCGAAAGCGUGGGGAGCGAACAGG
rnacentral:rRNA from 1 species